UCCAGACUCCUACGGGAGGCAGCAGUGGGGAAUAUUGCACAAUGGGGGGAACCCUGAUGCAGCGACGCCGCGUGGGUGAAGGAGUAUUUCGGUAUGUAAAGCCCUAUCAGCAGGGAAGAACAAUGACGGUACCUGAAGAAGAAGCCCCGGCUAACUACGUGCCAGCAGCCGCGGUAAUACGUAGGGGGCAAGCGUUAUCCGGAUUUACUGGGUGUAAAGGGGGCGCAGACGGCGAUGCAAGCCAGGAGUGAAAGCCCGGGGCCCAACCCCGGGACUGCUCUUGGAACUGCGUGGCUGGAGUGCAGGAGGGGCAGGCGGAAUUCCUGGUGUAGCGGUGAAAUGCGUAGAUAUACGGAGGAACACCAGUGGCGAAGGCGGAUUGCUGGACAGUAACUGACGCUGAGGCGCGAAAGCGUGGGGAGCAAACAGGAUUAGAUACCCCCGUAACC
rnacentral:rRNA from 1 species